ACGGGAGGCAGCAGUGGGGAAUAUUGCACAAUGGGCGCAAGCCUGAUGCAGCGAUGCCGCGUGAGGGAAGAAGGUUUUCGGAUCGUAAACCUCUGUCAACAGGGACGAAAAUGACGGUACCUGUGAAGGAAGCUCCGGCUAACUACGUGCCAGCAGCCGCGGUAAUACGUAGGGAGCAAGCGUUAUCCGGAGUUACUGGGUGUAAAGGGAGUGUAGGCGGGACUGUAAGUCAGAUGUGAAAUAUGCCGGCUCAACUGGCAGACUGCAUUUGAAACUGCGGUUCUUGAGUGAAGUAGAGGUAAGCGGAAUUCCUAGUGUAGCGGUGAAAUGCGUAGAUAUUAGGAGGAACAUCAGUGGCGAAGGCGGCUUACUGGGCUUUAACUGACGCUGAGGCUCGAAAGCGUGGGGAGCAAACAGGAUUAGAUACCCUGGUA
rnacentral:rRNA from 1 species